rnacentral:rRNA from 1 species
CCUACGGGUGGCAGCAGUGGGGAAUAUUGGACAAUGGGCGAAAGCCUGAUCCAGCCAUGCCGCGUGUGUGAAGAAGGCCUUCGGGUUGUAAAGCACUUUCAGUGGGGAAGAAAGCCUUGGGGCUAAUACCCUCGAGGAAGGACAUCACCCACAGAAGAAGCACCGGCUAACUCCGUGCCAGCAGCCGCGGUAAUACGGAGGGUGCGAGCGUUAAUCGGAAUUACUGGGCGUAAAGCGCGCGUAGGCGGUCUGAUAAGCCGGUUGUGAAAGCCCCGGGCUCAACCUGGGAACGGCAUCCGGAACUGUCAGGCUAGAGGGCAGGAGAGGAAGGUAGAAUUCCCGGUGUAGCGGUGAAAUGCGUAGAGAUCGGGAGGAAUACCAGUGGCGAAGGCGGUCUUCUGGACUGACACUGGCGCUGAGGUGCGAAAGCGUGGGUAGCAAACAGGAUUAGAUACCCGGGUAGUC